AUUGAACGCUGGCGGCAGGCCUAACACAUGCAAGUCGAGCGAGCGGCGGCCGGGUGCGUAAUAUAUGGGGCCUCCCCCAUAGAGGGGGAUAACUACUGGAACCCGUAGCUAAUACCGCAUACUCUCGGAUUACCCCCAUGGGAUUAGCUAGUAGGUGAGGUAAUGGCUCACCCAGGCGACGAUCCCUAGCUGGUCUGAGAGGAUGAGCAGCCACACUGGGACGGAGACACGGCCCAGACUCCUACGGAGGCAGCAGUGGGGAAUAUUGCACAAUGGGCGCAAGCCUGAUGCAGCCAUGCAGCGUGUAUGAAGAAGGCCCUAGGGUUGUAAAGGACUUUGAGUCGGGAGGCGUUACCGGCAGAAGAAGCACCGGCUAACUCCGUGCCAGCAGCCGCGGUAAUAC
rnacentral:rRNA from 1 species